rnacentral:rRNA from 1 species
CCCUUAGAUGUCCGGGGCUGCACGCGCGCUACACUGAAGGAAUCAGCGUGCUAAAACCAUUGUCGAAAGGCAUUGGUAAACCCAUUAAAAUCCUACGUGAUUGGGAUCGGGAAUUGCAAUUAUUUCCCUUGAACGAGGAAUUCCCAGUAAGUGUGGGUCAUAAGCUCGCGUUGAUUACGUCCCUGCCCUUUGUACACACCGCCCGUCGCUGCCUGGGACUGAGCCGUUUCGAGAAAAGCGGGGACUGCUGCUGUCGGGGCUUUCGGGCCUUGGCUUCGGUGGAAACCGCUUUAAUCGCAGUGGCUUGAACCGGGCAAAAGUCGUAACA